GAGCGGGACACACCUCCCCAACGAGGUGCUUCUAUCUGUAAGGGUAGCUUCA
rfam:Aureimonas ureilytica strain NS365 contig_28, whole genome shotgun sequence.